GGCCCGCCUCACCUUGGUCUCCUUCACGUGCUGCUUGACGCCCUCCGGGUACCACUGGACGCGCACGUAGCCGCGCCGCAGCGGGCUGGCCCGGCCCUCCUCGUGGCCCGCGCCCCCGGCCUCGGAGCAGCCCGAGCUGCCGCGGCCGUCCUCGUCGCCCUCCGAGUCCGAGUCCUCGCCGUGGAUGAGGCGUACCAGCCCGAAGUGCACCGAGCCGCGGCAUAUUUCAAGGUUCAUCUGAACUUACGCCUGGAUUCCUCCUGAUGGCUGAGGAGCACCCCAUCACAAGUAUGCACUGUGGGCUCUUGCCCCCUUUUGCCUCAAGAGUCGAAAGUGAAACGAAACUGCCCUCAGAUCCAGGACUACAGAUGCCUCCUGUAGAGAGAAUGCCUGACUACCUCAGAUCAAAGUCUUUGAAGUACCUUUUCCUCCUGUCUCGUGUAGAUGUUAAAUGGCUUGGUAUCGGGUUGCCUUUGGUUUCGAUAUUGCCUCUGAUUAUUUAAACUGAGUGUUCCAGUAAAUACACUCACCUCUCUUGAUACAGCUA